UGUUUGAUGUUCUAACGUGGACCCGUAAUCCGGGUUGCGGACAGUGUCUGGUGGGUAGUUUGACUGGGGCGGUCUCCUCCUAAAGAGUAACGGAGGAGCACGAAGGUUGGCUAAUCCUGGUCGGACAUCAGGAGGUUAGUGCAAUGGCAUAAGCCAGCUUGACUGCGAGCGUGACGGCGCGAGCAGGUGCGAAAGCAGGUCAUAGUGAUCCGGUGGUUCUGAAUGGAAGGGCCAUCGCUCAACGGAUAAAAGGUACUCCGGGGAUAACAGGCUGAUACCGCCCAAGAGUUCAUAUCGACGGCGGUGUUUGGCACCUCGAUGUCGGCUCAUCACAUCCUGGGGCUGAAGUAGGUCCCAAGGGUAUGGCUGUUCGCCAUUUAAAGUGGUACGCGAGCUGGGUUUAGAACGUCGUGAGACAGUUCGGUCCCUAUCUGCCGUGGGCGCUGGAGAACUGAGGGGGGCUGCUCCUAGUACGAGAGGACCGGAGUGGACGCAUCACUGGUGUUCGGGUUGUCAUGCCAAUGGCACUGCCCGGUAGCUAAAUGCGGAAGAGAUAAGUGCUGAAAGCAUCUAAGCACGAAACUUGCC
rnacentral:rRNA from 1 species